rnacentral:lncRNA from 1 species
CAUAGUUAGCAUUCAGCCAUUUUGGUGUGACUGAGGAGGCUUGGCCUGCCUACAGCUUAAUUAUGUAUUCAGGAAUAUUAUUUAUUAUUAAUGUGUGACAAUUUAUAGUGUCAUUUUUAUGACUUGUGUGAAGGUCUACCAAUAUAUUUUCAGAUCAAGUUUCAGUCAGCUCUGUGAUUUUGGCCGUUCUUAGCUUCUGUGGCAUUGCUUUCUGCUCAUUCUACAUGUAUAAUAGAGAGUGUAAGUAUUCGAAUAACACAUGAAAUAUGUACGAAUUAUGAAGGUGCAUAAACAAUAUCAAUAAUCUCUCUCUCUCUCUUCCUCUGAAACAAUCGAUGCAAAUUUCCUGCUGAUCUUAAAGGUGUUGCACAUCCAGGAGGUGUUCUUGGAUCUAUUGUCCACUAUCCUGUUCCACUGCAAGAGAGGUCUACAAUGAAAUCAUCCAUUUGACUCAUUCCUCAAAUAUCAGUCAAAUUAAAUCAAAUAAAUACUACUUUCAAUGUACUGUUUAGUUGUCACCUUAAGCUCUUUUAAGUAUUGUUUUUCAUCUAAUAUUGCAAAGAGUGUACUCUAAUUUGAUCAAUACUUGUUAAUUUUUAACAUAUUUAACAUAAUAUUUCCCUGUGUUUAUACUGGCCCUCAUUGAUGUUGUUUUAAUAAUAAAAAC